CAAGGUCACAGUGACCCGAAAUAGAUAAACAGUUACAAGACGAUAAAUUGUGAACGCUUGGACCUAGGAUCACGAAACUGAAAAGGGAGGUUGAUCAUGACCAUUAAAUGACCACUAAUGAUCUUGAGAUGAGUAGGCCAGUAGUCAGAGUAACAGUGACCUUGGACAGUUAAACAGAUUAUGGAUGAUAACUUGAGACUGCUUGGGCCUAGGAUCACAAAAUUUGAUAGAGAUGUUGGUCAUGACCAGCUACUGAUUUUGAGAUCAGUUGGUCAAAAGUCAAGGUCACAGUGUCUCGGAACAGUUAAUCAGUUUCAGAAUGAUAACUUGAGACUGCUCUGGACUAGGUCACGAAACUUUAUUUGGAGCUUGAUCAUGACCAGCAGAUGACCCCUAUUGAUAUAAAGAUCAGUAGGUCAGUGGUCAGUGGUCAAGUGAUCAAAGUCACAGUGGUCCAGAACAGAUAAACUGUUUUUGGACGAUAAUUGAGAAUGUUUGGGUCCAGGAUCAAGUAACUUAAUAGGGCAGUUGAUCAUGACCAGUAGAUGGCUCCUUUUUGAUUUUGAGGCCAGUAGGUCAAAGAUCAAGGUCACUGCAGCCCAGAACAGUUAAACCAUUUCUGGACAAAACUUGAGCUUAAGAUAACAAAAAUUAAUAGGGAGGUUGAUCUUGAACAGCAAAUGACCCCUAUAGAUUUUGAGGUCAGAACAGCAAAGAUCAAGGUCACAUUGAUCCAUGAGAAUGCUUCGGUUUAAGAUCACAUUUGAUAUGGAAGUCACUAAAUGACUGGUACAUCCAUAGGUCAAACGUCAAGGUCACAGUGACCCGGAACAUUUAAACAGUUUCUGGAUAAUAACUUGAGAUUGCUUUGGCCUAGAAUCACAUAACUUGAAUUACUGAAUCCAUCAAGGGGGUAUACUGUGUGUUAUUAGAUCUUGUUAAGAAUCCGAAAUACACUGCAAUUACAUUUUAAGUCAUCUGAACUUCUACAGGUCAGAAUUACACCAAAUUUGGUCAGUAUGAUUCUUGCAAUGACCUCUAUCAAAUUUUUUCAAAUGGCUUACCUUGAUCCAUUUAAGGGGCUGUAGAAAAAAAAACUUAAAAGAAAUUCUCCUCAAGAACCACUUAAUGGAUAUUCAUCAAACUUUGAUAGUAGCAUCAUUAUAAGGUCAUCUCCCAAGUAUGUUCAAAUGGGGGCACUUGGCCCCUUAGUUAAGGGUUGCCAGAGCUUAAAUUAGAAAUACAUUGUAAUAACUUCUUCUCAUGAACCAUUUGAUGGAUAUUCAUCAAACUUUGUAUGUGGCUUUAUAAUAAGAUCCUCUCCGUAUUUUGUUUAGAUGAGGGAACUUGGCCUCUUUUAGGGGCUGCUUGAGACAAAAUUAGAAGAAAAAAAACUAUAAACAACCUCUUCUUAAGAACCUUGUGAAGGAUCAUUAUCAAACUUGGUCUGCAGCAUCAUUGUAAGGUCUGGUCCCAAAUUUGUUGCAAUAGGGGCACUUGGACUCUUUUUGGGGUCACUGGUACUGAAUAUAUGAAUUGGAGAGCCAAAAAUAGAAAUGCCUUUAAAAGACAGCUUCUUAUGCUGUAGCAACAUUAUAAGGUGCUUUCAAAUUGGGGCAUUUGGUUGCUUGAGCCAAAAUUAGAUGUACCAUAAAAUGACUUCUCUUGAACUGAGUGAAGGAUCUUCAUCAAACUUGGUAUGUAGCUUUAUUAUAAGGUCCUCCCCAAAUUUUGUUUAAAUUGGGGCACUUGACCCCUUUUAGCUUCUGCUUGAGCCAAAAUUAGAAAAACCUAGAAACAACUUUUUCUUAUGAGCAAUUAGCAAUUGUUUCACAGAUGAGUUGAUGUUGGUUUUGUUGCAAACAUUCAAGUAUAGUUAAAUUGUACCACUUCAGUUACUUCAGUAAUACUAAUUUUAAAUUAUUGUUUAUUACAAAGCAAUUACUAGUAAUACGUACUAGUUUUUUUCUCUGUUUUCUUUUGGAGAUUUCUGACCUUUGCAAAUAAGGGAUUUAAAUAGGUAAAGAGAAUUAAAGGUUGUCACUAUAGGUUUAUGAAAUUUUUUUAAAUUGUUUUAUACAUGUAUGUGGUCUAUAAAAACGUUCAGACUAAUGCAACAACCUUUAUUUAGAUUGGUGUGUUUGAGAUCUCUGGUGUUAGCAGUGUUUGUGUCAAAAAUUGCACACCCUAAACCUCACAAAUAAUGUAAAAUGAGAGAAACGACAGGGAAGAAUGAAAAAUAUAUUGAUAUAAAAUGAAAUAUUGUAGAAGAAAAAAAAAUCAACCCUUACCAUGCUGGACACAUGAAUGGAUCCAUGCAGUCUAAUCAUGAUCUGCACAGUUCACUAUUCAGUCGGUGUAUUUUGGUAAGCACCCCUUUUAACAGUCAGCGGUACUGUCCAAAUUGGAAGAUAAACAAGUCCAUUAUAGAAAUAUAGCAUGAUAAGGGCUAAUUAAUACGCAUGAAUGAAGGAAUGAAGGAAUAUGAAAUAGUAAAUGAAUAUGCAUGAGUGAAGAAAUAACAGAAUAUGAAUUAAUAGAUGAAUGAAUAAAUGAACAGUGAACAUGAUGAAUGAAUAUGAAUAGGCAUGAAUGAAGGAGUGAAUGAACAAAUAUAUGUAAAUGAAUGAAAAUGGAUGAAUGAAAUUAAUGAAUAAAUGAAUAUACAUGAUAAAAUAAAAGAUAGUAUGUAUUGAAUAAAUGUAUAUGCAUGAAUGAAUAUACCAAGUGAAUGUGAAUGAAAGGACAAUGAUACUGACAUUUUCUUGUUGAAAAAAAAAAAUUAUCAUACAUGUAUAUGAAUUGUUAAUGUUUAUCAUAUUUGGCAUGAAUGAAGGAGUGAAUGAACAAAUAAAUGUGAAUGAAUGAAAAUGGAUGAAUGAAAUUAAAUGUGAAUGAAUGAAAAUGGAUGAAUGAAUAUACCAAGUGAAUGAAAUUAAUGAAUAGACGAACGUACAUGAAAAAAUGAAAGAAAAGAUGGUACGUAUGUAUUGAAUAAAUGUAUAUGCAUGAAUGAAUAUACCAAGUGAAUGUGAAUGAAAAAACAAAGAUACUGACGUUUUCUUGUUGAAAAAUAAAUUAUCAUACAUGAAUUAUGAAUUGUUAAUGUUUAGCAUAUUUUCUGAAAAUAAUUGUAAAUAAUCUUGUAAAUAUCACCAUUGUAUUAUGUUUUGUUGCAUUUGUAUUACCUUACAAUAUCUUUUUAUAAAUUGUGCAGAUUAAUAAAAAAGUAAAUAAAUA